AGUGAACGCUGGCGGUAGGCCUAACACAUGCAAGUCGAACGGCAGCACAGUAAGAGCUUGCUCUUACGGGUGGCGAGUGGCGGACGGGUGAGGAAUACAUCGGAAUCUACUUUUUCGUGGGGGAUAACGUAGGGAAACUUACGCUAAUACCGCAUACGACCUACGGGUGAAAGCAGGGGAUCUUCGGACCUUGCGCGAUUGAAUGAGCCGAUGUCGGAUUAGCUAGUUGGCGGGGUAAAGGCCCACCAAGGCGACGAUCCGUAGCUGGUCUGAGAGGAUGAUCAGCCACACGGGAACGGAGACACGGUCCAGACUCCUGCGGGAGGCAGCAGCGGGGAAUAUUGGACAAUGGGGGCAAGCCUGAUCCAGUCAUACCGCGUGGGUGAAGAAGGCCUUCGGGUUGGAAAGCCCUUUUGUUGGGAAAGAAAAGCAGCAGGUUAAUACCCCGCUGUUCUGACGGUACCCAAAGAAUAAGCACCGGCUAACUUCGUG
rnacentral:rRNA from 1 species